ACGAACGCUGGCGGCGUGCCUAAUACAUGCAAGUCGAACGAACUCUGGUAUUGAUUGGUGCUUGCAUCAUGAUUUACAUUUGAGUGAGUGGCGAACUGGUGAGUAACACGUGGGAAACCUGCCCAGAAGCGGGGGAUAACACCUGGAAACAGAUGCUAAUACCGCAUAACAACUUGGACCGCAUGGUCCGAGUUUGAAAGAUGGCUUCGGCUAUCACUUUUGGAUGGUCCCGCGGCGUAUUAGCUAGAUGGUGNGGUAACGGCUCACCAUGGCAAUGAUACGUAGCCGACCUGAGAGGGUAAUCGGCCACAUUGGGACUGAGACACGGCCCAAACUCCUACGGGAGGCAGCAGUAGGGAAUCUUCCACAAUGGACGAAAGUCUGAUGGAGCAACGCCGCGUGAGUGAAGAAGGGUUUCGGCUCGUAAAACUCUGUUGUUAAAGAAGAACAUAUCUGAGAGUAACUGUUCAGGUAUUGACGGUAUUUAACCAGAAAGCCACGGCUAACUACGUGCCAGCAGCCGCGGUAAUACGUAGGUGGCAAGCGUUGUCCGGAUUUAUUGGGCGUAAAGCGAGCGCAGGCGGUUUUUUAAGUCUGAUGUGAAAGCCUUCGGCUCAACCGAAGAAGUGCAUCGGAAACUGGGAAACUUGAGUGCAGAAGAGGACAGUGGAACUCCAUGUGUAGCGGUGAAAUGCGUAGAUAUAUGGAAGAACACCAGUGGCGAAGGCGGCUGUCUGGUCUGUAACUGACGCUGAGGCUCGAAAGUAUGGGUAGCAAACAGGAUUAGAUACCCUGGUAGUCCAUACCGUAAACGAUGAAUGCUAAGUGUUGGAGGGUUUCCGCCCUUCAGUGCUGCAGCUAACGCAUUAAGCAUUCCGCCUGGGGAGUACGGCCGCAAGGCUGAAACUCAAAGGAAUUGACGGGGGCCCGCACAAGCGGUGGAGCAUGUGGUUUAAUUCGAAGCUACGCGAAGAACCUUACCAGGUCUUGACAUACUAUGCAAAUCUAAGAGAUUAGACGUUCCCUUCGGGGACAUGGAUACAGGUGGUGCAUGGUUGUCGUCAGCUCGUGUCGUGAGAUGUUGGGUUAAGUCCCGCAACGAGCGCAACCCUUAUUAUCAGUUGCCAGCAUUAAGUUGGGCACUCUGGUGAGACUGCCGGUGACAAACCGGAGGAAGGUGGGGAUGACGUCAAAUCAUCAUGCCCCUUAUGACCUGGGCUACACACGUGCUACAAUGGAUGGUACAACGAGUUGCGAACUCGCGAGAGUAAGCUAAUCUCUUAAAGCCAUUCUCAGUUCGGAUUGUAGGCUGCAACUCGCCUACAUGAAGUCGGAAUCGCUAGUAAUCGCGGAUCAGCAUGCCGCGGUGAAUACGUUCCCGGGCCUUGUACACACCGCCCGUCACACCAUGAGAGUUUGUAACACCCAAAGUCGGUGGGGUAACCUUUUAGGAACCAGCCGCCUAAGGUGGGACAGAUGAUUAGGGUGAAGUCGUAACAAGGUAGCCGUAGGAGAACCUGC
rnacentral:rRNA from 1 species